rnacentral:rRNA from 1 species
ACCGGCAGCUAAAGUGGUGGACAUUUUUAUUGGGCCUAAAGCGUUCGUAGCCGGUUUGAUAAGUCUCUGGUGAAAUCCCGCAGCUUAACUGUGGGACUUGAUGGUGAUAAUAUUAGACUUGAGGUCGGGAGAGGUUAGGGGUACUCCCAGUGUAGGGGUGAAGUCCUAUAAUCCUGGGAGGACCACCUGUGGCGAAGGCGCCUAUCUGGAACGAACCUGACGGUGAGUAACGAAAGCCAGAGGCGCGAACCG